rnacentral:rRNA from 1 species
GCUUAACACAUGCAAGUCGACCGGUAAGGCCCUUCGGGGUACACGAGCGGCGAACGGGUGAGUAACACGUGGGUGAUCUACCCUGUACUUCGGGAUAAGCCUGGGAAACUGGGUCUAAUACCGGAUAUGACCUUCCGAUGCAUGUCGGUGGGUGGAAAGAUUUAUCGGUACAGGAUGGGCCCGCGGCCUAUCAGCUUGUUGGUGGGGUAAUGGCCUACCAAGGCGACGACGGGUAGCCGGCCUGAGAGGGCGACCGGCCACACUGGGACUGAGACACGGCCCAGACUCCUACGGGAGGCAGCAGUGGGGAAUAUUGCACAAUGGGCGAAAGCCUGAUGCAGCGACGCCGCGUGAGGGAUGACGGCCUUCGGGUUGUAAACCUCUUUCGACAGGGACGAAGCGCAAGUGACGGUACCUGUAGAAGAAGCACCGGCCAACUACGUGCCAGCAGCCGCGGUAAUACGUAGGGUGCGAGCGUUGUCCGGAAUUACUGGGCGUAAAGAGCUUGUAGGCGGUUUGUCGCGUCGUCCGUGAAAACUUGGGGCUCAACCCCAAGCUUGCGGGCGAUACGGGCAGACUUGAGUACUGCAGGGGAGACUGGAAUUC